UACGUAGGGGGCAAGCGUUGUCCGGAAUCAUUGGGCGGAAAGAGCGUGUAGGCGGCUCGAUAAGUCUGCUGUGAAAGUCCAGGGCUCAACCCUGGAAGGCCGGUGGAAACUGUCGGGCUAGAGUUCGGAAGAGGCGAGUGGAAUUCCCGGUGUAGCGGUGAAAUGCGCAGAUAUCGGGAGGAACACCAAUGGCGAAGGCAGCUCGCUGGGACGUUACUGACGCUGAGACGCGAAAGCGUGGGGAGCAAACAGG
rnacentral:rRNA from 1 species